rnacentral:rRNA from 1 species
UACGAAGGGGGCUAGCGUUACUCGGAUUUACUGGGCGUAAAGGGCGCGUAGGCGGCUUGUACAGUCAGACGUGAAAUUCCUGGGCUCAACCUGGGGGCUGCGUUUGAUACGUGCGGGCUUGAGUUCGGAAGAGGGUCGUGGAAUUCCCAGUGUAGAGGUGAAAUUCGUAGAUAUUGGGAAGAACACCGGUGGCGAAGGCGGCGACCUGGUCCGAUACUGACGCUGAGACGCGAAAGCGUGGGGAGCAAACAGG